AGUUUUCUUCUAACAUGGCGAUGCGUUUGACUUGGCAAGUUAGAACUUACACAAACUGAAUUUUGGAAAUCAAAAAAGACAUUAAUUAACCAUCUUUAAUCGUGAUAUUAUAAUUUCAGUUUUUCAAUACAAAUUCAGUACAUAAUAUUGCAAUAAUUGACGAUUUAUGUGAUGUCAUUUGAUUCAACGAGAUAAACGUAUCUGUUCGUUAAACUAUGUUAAAGUUCAGCAUUUGGCAUUCAAAUUGUUAUAUUAAGGGCAACUACGAGCCGGAAUAUUCAAAAUGAAUGUAAAAAAAAUAAGCUUGUGCUAGAUAUCAAAGAAAAUUUGCCACUAGCUGUGCUAAUAAUUAACUAAUUUUCGGACAAAAUACAGUCAUGCAUUUUCAAAAGAACACUUGCUUAUCUCACAUUUUCACGAUGCCUUGCAGGAGAUCUCUGGGACUUGUGACUGAAAGAAGAAGAAGGCAAACCGACCGUAGGCAGGAACAACAAACUGCUCGGAAACAACAACUGAUAGACCAACGUAUUAAUGAAACGUGGAAAGAGUCAGAAAUUAAAAUUGGAAAUUAUGAAAAAGCUGAUUGUAACUAACAGGCAAAUAUAAAAUUUGAAGAAGACGAACUACUUCUACUACUAAAUCAUAUGAUAACAGUUGUUCUACACUUCUGGAUGAAUUUUGGUGGAAAACAUAUGAUAAUACUCGCACAAUAUUGACAAAGAGUGCAAUGGACAGCAAAUAAAGUAGGCAUAUUGAUUGUGUGAAAACUCCAGUAUGGGACAGAAGUUGCUGUUGACUAACUACGAUACGGUCAAAAUAUAGUCAUUUGUUUGCUAUGUGUGUCAAAAGUCAUUUAUAACUAAACAGCAAAUUUUGUGUCAUUUUGCAACACCGCACACUUGUACUUCAAGUAGAGGCGAACAAAAGCCAAUUGCCAAAAUUCUAGAAACUACUAUCAACAAACAUACUCGAAGAAACAAAUACAGCUGCUAUGAAUGUGACUGAAUGCACUGUAAGUAAGCGAACGUGAAUUUACUAGUUUAGCCUCAAGUCACAUAAGCUCGUGCAGACCAGUGUGAAAAUAUAAAAGUGUGGUGUCGGCAAACAAUGUUCACAUUUUCAAUGUUAUAUUCAGUUUAAGAUAAGACAUUUUUUGUUUUACAAAAAUAUAAACCUCGUGACAAUUUUAUUGGUUACAUAUUGUGCAAUAUGAGAUAGUUAAUUAUAAAUAUUUUUAAUGUUUAUUAUUCUAUAUUUUAAACCUACA